rnacentral:rRNA from 1 species
UACAGAGGUCCCAAGCGUUGUUCGGAUUCACUGGGCGUAAAGGGUGCGCAGGUGGGUUUGCAAGUUUGAUGUGAAAGCCCCGGGCUUAACCCGGGAAUGGCAUUGAAUACUGCAGAUCUGGAGGAUUGGAGGGGGGGACUGGAAUUCUUGGUGUAGCAGUGAAAUGCGUAGAUAUCAAGAGGAACACCAGUGGCGAAGGCGAGUCCCUGGACAAUUCCUGACACUGAGGCACGAAGGCCAGGGGAGCAAACGGG